AGAGUUUGAUCCUGGCUCAGAACAAACGCUGGCGGCGUGUCUUAAGCAUGCAAGUCGAGCGGCAAGGCGGGGCGACCCGCCCUAGAGCGGCGGACUGGUGAGUAACGCGUGGGUAAUCUACCUUGGGCAUGGGGAUAGCCAUUAGAAAUAGUGGGUAAUACCGAAUACGUUCGCAGGGGGAAGUGACCUGUGAGGAAAGGGUGCUACGGCACCGGCCUGAGAUGAGCUCGCGUCCCAUUAGCUAGUUGGUGAGGUAAGGGCCCACCAAGGCGAUGAUGGGUAGCCGGCCUGAGAGGGUGUACGGCCACACUGGGACUGAGAUACGGCCCAGACUCCUACGGGAGGCAGCAGCUAAGAAUAUUCCGCAAUGGACGAAAGUCUGACGGAGCGACGCCGCGUGGAUGAAGAAGGCCGAAAGGUUGUAAAGUUCUUUUGCGAGAGAAGAAUAACCGCAGGAGGGAAUGCCUGUGGGAUGACAUGAACUUGCGAAUAAGCCCCGGCCAACUACGUGCCAGCAGCCGCGGUAACACGUAGGGGGCGAGCGUUGUUCGGAAUUACUGGGCGUAAAGGGCAUGUAGGCGGUCUGGUAAGCCUGGCGUGAAAGACCACAGCUUAACUGUGGGGUUGCGCUGGGAACUGCUGGGCUUGAGUGACGGAGAGGGAGCUGGAAUUCCUGGUGUAGGGGUGAAAUCUGUAGAUAUCAGGAAGAACACCGAUGGCGAAGGCAAGCUCCUGGCCGAUGACUGACGCUGAGGUGCGAAAGUGUGGGGAUCAAACAGGAUUAGAUACCCUGGUAG
rnacentral:rRNA from 1 species